rnacentral:snoRNA from 1 species
AACCCAUGGUGAGGACACUUUCUCAAUAGGUCUUUGUAUCUCUCCCAUGCAUUAUAAAGAGUUUCUAGAUCCAUCUGCACAAAAGAAGAGAUAUCAUUCCUCAAUUU